GGUCGCUGCUCGUCUCCUCAGCUCCGGCCGCCGUUUACCUCUUACCACUUAAUAUUGACUCCUAACCAACCAGGGAACUAUUGGGAAUAAAAAUGAAGACAUGAGGCCGGCCGCGGUGGCUCACGCCUGUCAUCUCAGCACUUUAGGAGGCCGAGGCGGUAAAUCACGAGGUCAGGAGUUCGAGACCAGCCUGGCCAACAUAGUGAAACCUCGUCUCUACCAAAAAUACAAAAAAGUAGCUGAGUAUAGUGGCGGGCGCCUGUAAUCCCAGCUACUCGGGAGGCUGAGGCAGGAAAAUCGCUUGAACCUGGGAGGCAGAGGUUGCAGUGAGCCGAGAUCACGCCAUUGCGCUCCAGCCUGGGCAACAAGAAUGAAACUCAGUCUCAAAAAAAAAAAAAAAAUUGUGGCUCCUGUCAUCCGUGUAUUUCCUCGUUUCAUCCUCCCGGCCCGCCUAGAUGGGAGUCGUUAACCCGCCUCGCCGCUGAGUUCCCCGGGGGUCCCGGAGGUGAGGGAGCCCGCCCCACCCGGGUCUCCAACGCCCCGCUGGUUGCCAGCGAAUUGACGGAGAAAAACACCGCGGGGAAACCGAGCUCCCUGGAUAGCGGGACCCUGAGGGUCCCCCCAAAACCUAUCAGAAGGUGCUCACCGAAAUCUUUCCCCAGAGACCUUUCUGAAUUUCUCACCAAGGCUGGAAAAAUGAAGGUGUUAGGUUUGAAGAAAAACUGAGACACUGCCUGCCUGCAAGGUGCCUGGGACACAGUAAGCGCUCAAUAAUAUAAGCAUCUUGGUUUGGGAUCCUCCAGAGGCCGACCCCAAGACAAGGAUUUUGGAGGCCUUAUAAUAGCCCUAUGAGGUAAUAUAAUUAGUUCCAUUUUACUGAUGAAGAGACCAAGGUCCAGGGAACAAAACAACUUGCCCAGGCUUGCAUCAUGAUACUGCCAGAAACCAAAUCUAGAUCUUCAGACCCUGAGAUGGCCACAGGACCUCGAUCCCCAUGUGUUCCCUAGAGGUGUUGUGCAGAACCUUCUUGAUGCUGAUCUGGAUGACAAGCGGUCACCCACAGGUUGCUGGAGAUGAUUCCUGGCUGGGUGGCCUUCAGUCCUCCUUGGUCUUUCUCCCACACUGUGAUCUUGACACCCACUGGCCAUUUCUGAGAAAGAAGCUGCCUUCUCCAGGGCUUUUGUGGGUGCCCAUGUUCACCAAGCAGCCUCUAAAGUGAUGUGAAUCCUAGCGCCAGGCCUGUUAGUAGCACACAUGCAUGGUAGAUGCGUGCUGGAAAAGCAGGAGCCCUAGGAGCCUGCCUUGGGUUCUAGUCCUAGCCAUCCAUUGCCUCACCCCAGGGUCUCAUUUUCUAUCUCUAAGCUUCAGUUUCCACAUCUGCACAAUGGGGAUAGGAACUUUUCUGUGAAGAUCAAGUAGGUUUUAGGAGAAUAUUCCAAUCUUGAUCAAAUACUAACAAUCGCCUGAACCCUGCAGAACAAUCCCUGCUUGUUGUACAGCCUGAUGCCACCUCAGAUAAACCAUCACCUACUGUAUGCGCUGAACAUUUUCCCCUCCCCUCCGGGAAGAUCAUCCUCUGGAUCUGCCCUCCUCACAAUGGCCUUAUUGCUUUUCUGGAGUCACCGAAUCUUAGAAUAUUGGUGCUGGAAAAGACCUUGAGGACCAUCAGUCCCAGUGUGGCAAACUUAUCUCCUUAUCAAGGACCCCCGCUGCCUAAAGCAGUGGUUGAGACUCAGUCACUGCUCCCCUCACUGCAGGGUGCAGCGUGAAGAGGGGACAGAUCAUCCUGUGAGUUACAGGCCACCUUCAGCCCAAAUGCCCCCUUUCUACAGAUGGGCAAACUGAGUAGGCCGGGCGUGGUGGCUCAAGCCUGUAAUUCCAGCACUUUGGGAGGCCGAGGCAGGCGGAUCACGAGGUCAGAAGUUCAAGACCAGCCUGACCAACAUAGUGAAACCCCGUCUCUACUAAAAAUACAAAAAAUUAGCCUGGUGUGGUGGUGUGCACCUGUAAUCCCAGCUACUCAGAAGGCUGAGGCAGAAGAAUCGUGUGAACCCUAGAGGCAGAGGUUGCAGUGAGCCGAGAUUGCGCCAUUGCACUCCAGCCUGGGCGAUAGUGCGAGACACUGUCUCAAAAAAAAAAAUGUGAAGGGAAAGCCCAGAAUGAUAGCAUUUUCAUGCUGGCAAGCCCACGGAUGGUGCAUACUCAAUGUCUCUGGGGGAGCAAAACUCAAGGCCCGACAGCCCUCACCUAGUUGGGUGGUUUAUUCACAAACUGUCUACUCCCAGGACUUCAGGAUGGGGCAAGUCACAAAGCAGGAUGUCUUCAGUGGGGAAUGUUUAAGUCCUUCAAGGGAAAUACCGUAUCGUGAGCUUUUCAGGGACAGGAUCUGUGACCCACCUGUGUACGACGCCUCUGUGGUCCUGAUAUUCUGGUGCUGGGCUUGGACUCAAGCUGUGGGUUUCAACCCAGCUUAACCUUAUCUGCAUGACCUUGGGGAAGGCACUUCCUCUUCCAGGAAUUCAGUUGUUUGCAAAGUGGGACCAUGAUAUCAUCUCUACAAAACCCUCUAAACACAAAUGAAGAAACUUCCCAUACCAAGCACCCAGAAUAAAGAAAACAGGCUAGAAAAACCAGAAGCUAUUGAGUCACUUUUUUCCUUUUUUUUGCUUAUAUGUGCUAAUUUUUCUACCAUGGUCAUGGGUUACCUUUGAAUUAUUGUAAAAGUGAGUAAUUAAAGGGGGUGGAGCAGAGCUGAUGAUGUGAAGGAAAACGCUGAGCUUGGCAACUUUCAGGGCCUCCACUGUGCCAGGCACAGUUGUUGAUGCUUCACCUAUGUGACCUCAUCUCUUUGUCCCAACAAGCCUGAAAGGGAGGCAUUAUGGCUCCUACUUCCAGCUGGGGAGACUGAGGCUCCUGAAGGAGUCAAGCCCUCACUAUUAUGACAGCCUGUGGUGAUGGUGAUGUACCAGGAAGGGGCAUACGGAUGUGUGGCAGCAGCAGCAAGGUGAGCGCUACAACUCUGAGAAAGCGGAGCCUCCUCCCUCUCCUGAGACACUGCCUCAGAGCCUCUGAGAAAAGCCUUCCCCACUGGUGACACACCAGGAACCUGCUCCCAGGGGACCUGCUCUGGAUUCUUUUAAGAUCAAUAAAAUUUAUUAUUAAACAGCA